rnacentral:lncRNA from 1 species
CCCAGCACCCCACCGCUCUCCCUCUCUCUGUUUCCCCAGGUUGGGGCUGGCAGCCCUCCACUACUUUCUGUUCCUUCGUCAACGUUGACUCUUGCCUUGGACAGACCGAGCUGCUGACUGGCCCCUUCUCUCCACUCUCUGGCUAGAAGAUGACUGAAGCCCCUCCGGGGAUCUGCAAAACCUGCCAGACAGAGGGCCUGGAGUUAAGGGUUGCCGACGACAUCUAUGCUCCUUUGGGAGGUGGCGAGCGAUCUGUUCCGAGAGGUGCUCGAGCAGAAGACAGAGCCUUUUGUCAAGGACGUGGCAGAAGAGAUUUGAACAUAGAUUCAAACAUUCUUAGACUGACAACACCCUCUGUGAUGGUUAAUACGACUCCAAGUUCUUCAGCUUUGGGACGCGGACUGGCUGUCUUUGCUCCUCAGCUUGCAGAUGGCCUAUGGUGGGACCCUGUGAUCGUUGGGUGGAAAUGAAAGCCAAGGAAGAAGAGGAAAUUUCACAGAAUGGAAACUGGUUGGUGUCCAGGUGGAACGCACACAGCAGCACUCCACCCUGCUCUCAGCAGGACAGUUGGGGUUGGUGUCUGGGCAGCAGCGAGAGGAACACAGGCAGGAGAACCCAGAGGACACCCAGGGGACACAGGGGUCCCGCAAACAGCUCACCAGCAACUGAAGCAAUAGGGAGAGUUGGAAGUUCUUGAAGUGAGGAAGGAAAGUCGAAUUUAGCAGGAGGAGGUAAUAAUGGCUCAUCUUGAUUGAGUGUUCACUACGGGCUCUGCUGUUUUCUCUUUUCUUUCUUUCUUUCUUUCUUUCUUUCUUUCCUUCUUUCUUCCUUCCUUUCUUUCUUUACUUUCCUCCCUUCCUUCUUUCUUUCCUUCCUUCCUUCCUUCUUUCUCUUUCUUUCCUUCCUUUAUUCCUUCCUUCUCUCUUUCUCUCUUUCCUUCCUUCCUUCCUUCCUUCCUCACUCCCUCCCUCCCUCCCUUCCUUCCUUCUCUCUUUCUCUCUUUCUUUUUUGUUUUUGACAGAGUCUUGCUCUGUCACCCAGGCUGGAGUGCAGUGGUGUGAUCUUGUCUCACUGCAACCUCUGCCUCCUGGGUUCAAGCAAUUCUCCUGCCUCAGCCUCCCAGGUAGCUGGGAUUACAGGUAAGUGCCACCACGCCCAGCUAAUUUUUGCAUUUUUAGUAAUGUUGGCCAGGAUGAUCUCGAUCUCCUGACCUUGUGGUCCACCCGCCUCGGCCUCCCACAGUGCUGGGAUUCAGGCGUGAGCCACCGCGCCCGGCCUGCUAAGUGUUUUCUAUGCAUGAUUUUGUUUCAUCACAUACAACCCUUUGCGGGAAGUGAUGUUAUUAUUAUCACCACAUCUAUCUAUAGAUGGAGAAUCUGAUGCUCAGAGAACUGAAAUAACUUCCCCAAGCCACAGGCAGCUGCCCAGUGGUCAGCAGAGUUUCUGGACCUGACGGCCUAAUGCCAAAGCCCAGGUGACUAACCGCCGUGCGACGCUGCCUCUAUGAGGCACCAGGCCAGCGUCAAAGCCUGGAUGUCUCCCGCAGCCUUGCUCCGGAUUAUGUCCUCUAGUGGGGUGUUUAUUUCUGCAGGGGGUGGGGAGGCAAACGUGUGCAAUGCGUGUUUAUUUUUCUAUUUGUGCUAAAAUAGUAAAGAUUUCCGUUUCUGGAAAGCACACUUGACUAGAAUUGUUUGAGGGAGGUGGACUCUUGACCCCUGCAUCCAGAACCCUGGGGUGGAUCUCAACUCCAGGCUGAGCACCUGGGUGGGACGGCUCUCCACAGAACCAGCCUUGGAAGCCAAGUCAAUCAAGUGGCAGCAGACUUCUGCAGACGCGAGGAACUCACCAUCACACACGCAUUUCACAAUCUCAAAAAUGAUCUUUUAAGAUUUUUAGAUAUUUUUCUCUUGACACACGAGGGUGCCUCUCUGGAACUGGGAACAACGUAGAGACUCAGAGCCAUUCCUUCACAGCUAGCAGGAAGGAAGGCUGCUGUUCUUUCGUUUCUUUUUCUUUUCCUUUCUUUUUUCUUUUCUUUCCUUUUCUUUUUUUUUUUUUUUUAGAUGGAGUUUCGCUCUUGUUGCCCAGGCUGGAGUGCAGUGGCAUGAUCUCGGCUCACUGCAACCUCUGCCUCCCCGGUUUAAGUGAUUCUCCUGCCUCAGCCUCCCGAGUAGCUGGGACUACAGGCACCCGCCACCACACCUGGCUAAUUUUUGUAUUUUUAGUAAAGACAGGGUUUCACUGUGUUGGCCAGGAUGGUUUCGAUCUCUUGACUUCGUGAUCUGCCCGCCUUGGCCUCCCAAAGUGCUGGGAUUACAGGUGUGAGCCGCCGUGCGUGGCCUCUACCUUUUUUUAAAAUUGUUACUUGGAGAAUGUCAUUAGGGAAGGUGCGUGCCAGAUUUUCUCACUCAGUGUUUGAAUGUUUUUUCUUAAGCCCAUACAACUCCAAUCAUAACUUUUAUUAAAAUGCAAGCCAGGUGCCGACAUGCGUGGUUCUCUGCCCUGACACACGGCAGGCCUGGCUGAGUCCUGGUGAAGACGCCCAAAAUAAACCUGUCUGUGUCAGUGGGGACUUGCCAACUGCCGUGACAUUCAACCCUGAAGUCUCAGGGGCUUCAUUCAGUGCACGCUGCUGCCUCAGACCCUGUCCAGGACAGGUUGCGGGAGGGUGCUGCUGUGCACACCCACUCAGGACCCAGUCUCCUUCCCUGGCGUGGUCUCCCUGUCUUCCAGAGCCUCGGAGCCUCCUCCUGGAUUUUCUGCAGCAGCGUGACAGGCAGGGAAGCAGCAACCGUGACAGGUGUCACGGGUGGUUUGAAAGCGUCCAGGCUGGAAGUGGAGUAUGUGGCCUACCUAGAUGUGAAGGCUGAAUUUUGUCCCCUUCAAUUCACAUGUUAAAAAUCCUAACCCUCAGUACCUCAGAAUGUGGCUGCAUAGAGAGCAGAGCCAUUUGAAGAGGCAGUUAAGUUAGAAUGAGGCUGUUAGGGUGGGCCCUUAUCCAAUCUUAUUGGUGUCCUUAUAAGAAGAGGAAAUUUGGCACACAGAGUGGCUCAAUGGACUUGCACACAGAAGGUAGUCAUCUACAAGCCAAGGAGGGGGGUCUCAGAAGAAACCAAACCUGCUGACACCUUGAUCUUGGACUUCCAGCUUCCAGAGCUGUGAGGAAAUAAAUGCCUGUUGUUUAAGGGACGCAGUCUGUGGUGUUUUGUUGUGGCAGCCCUAGAAAACGGAUGCACGUGGUAGCAGGAUGAACCCAGGGUAGGAGCCUUCCUUAGCAGUCUCUGCCACAGCCUGUCAUUGGCUUUCCUCCCAGGGGAGGAUAAGCAAAGUCCCAUCCAGUCCCUGUAUCUAGCUCCAAAUUUAGGAACUUUGGGUUGUUGGGAUGUUCAAAACCCUUUAAACCCAGUCUCCUGGCUUCGUUGGCAACACAGUUCUCUCAACAACUUAGGAGGCUUCUAAUCUAUUUGUGUCCCAUCAAUUCUCACAGCUCUGGAGGCUGGAAGUCCAAGAUCAAUGUCUCAGCAGGUUUGGUUUCUUUUUUGUUAUUGUUUUUGUUUUUGAGACAGAGUUUCGCUCUGGUUGCCCAGGCUGGAGUGCAAUGGCGCAAUCUCAGCUCACUGCAACCUCCGCCUCCCAGGUUCAAGUGAUUCUCCUGUCUCAGCCUCCCGAGUAGCUGGGAAUACAGGCAUCUGCCACCACACCCAGCUAAUUUUUGUAUUUUUAGUAGAGGUGGGGUUUCUCCAUGUUGGCCAGGCUGGUCUCGAACUCCUGACCUCAGGUGAUCUGCCCAACUCAGCCUCCCAAGGUGCUGGGAUUACAGGUGUGAGCCACCGUGUCCAACCUGCUUUGGUUUCUUCUGAGAUCCCCCUCCUUGGCCUGUAGAUGGCUGCCUCUGUGUACAAGUUCAUUGAGCCACUCUGUGUGCCAAAUUUCCUCUUCUUAUAAGGAUACCAGUCAGAUUGAAUAACAUGCUAUUAAUUAUACCCCUAUUUUUUUUCCGAGUCAUAAUUCUCAAUGCUGCCUUCUUUCUGUUUGCUUCCUCAUGCCAUUCUUUCUUAACAUAAUGAUGGCUAUGUUGAGGCUAUCAGACUUGGGUAGAAAGGUACAAUCCAUGAGUUGAUGUUUGCCUCAGAGGUGAUUCACUGUGUUUAGUGAGAAGAAAGAUUCAUUGGGUCUUCUUUGUUCAAAACCUUUUAAAAUUCAGACACUGAACAGUGUCUGAGAGAGAAACUUUCAUUGUACUAAACACAGGGGAUUGUUACAACAGUUAGCAGAUCUCCACUAAUACGAGAUUAAUUUUAUCUGGGGAGGUAGAAAAAUAAGGCCCAAAGAGGAAAGAGUUUUCUAGAAGAGGUCAUUUUUUUUCCCCAUUGCUGCGUGUCCCGAAUUUCUGAUUCUCUCCAUUCUGUUUCAUUUCUUCUUGUGAAUUGAGCAGUUCUUUUCUGAGCUCAUUGUUUUUCUUGUAAUAUCUUGCCGAAUGCAGCAACAACAAGCAAAACAGCAUAAUAUUCUUGUUUACUCGUUUCCUUCCGCCUCUCCUAGAGCAUGUGUUUUUUACUUCCAGGUUAUAAUAGGCAAUAGUUUUUACCAAAUGUUUUGUCUGUCUGAGUAUAACAUGGAUCUCCAGUUACCUAACCCGCUACAUCUCUUUCCUUUUUGCUCAGCCUUUGUAUUUUAGUUUUUGUCAUGGAAGUACCCCACUUCAAGAAAUGAAUUAUUAUAUUAGUCAAAAAAUACUAAUUGCUGAAACGAACAGCUGCCAAAUCUCAGUGGAACGUAACAAUUAAUACAAAAUAAACAUUUUAUCCUCCUCAUGUCACAGUGCAAUGUUGAUUGACUCGAGUGGAAGUGACAGAAGUGAGAGCUCUGCUCCAUGUUGUCACUCAGGGAUCCAUUGUUCCAUUAAUUCAGGGAUUUAACAGGUGAAUUAUCUUUUAAGAUUUUUAGAUAUUUUUCUCUUGACACACAAGUUCCAUUGUGUGGCUUGGGUACCUGGUAGGGCACUGAACCUUUUCGCUGGAUUCAGAUAACUGGUUGGCAGGUGAGGAAAAAGAGAUCACGAAGAAGCUUGUGGAAGUUCUUAGGACAAACCUGCAAGGGUGUGUCCAUUGACAAGAACUAUUCACAUAGCCCCACUAGAUGCAAGAGCUCUUGGAAAGUCAGUCUACUAGUAUCCCAACAAGAAAAGGAGACACAGAUAUUGGUGUACAAGAGCAUCCUCUGAAUAUCCCCUCCUUCCUCCGUGCUGUGGAUGCUAUGGACACAGUGGUGCAUCUCCCAAUUCUCCCUUUAACGAAGCACUUAUUGCCCCAGCUGUAGGCAGGGCUCAUUGUUGACAGCCUUCAACUGUCAGCCCCUUCAGGAAUCAUCUUAGCUGCAAAGAGCUACCUUGCCCAAGGCUGCAUCAUCCUUCCUGGAAUGGCCCUCAUCCAAUGACUGAUCAAGGUGGGAGUAUAAAUGUCUAGUCAUUUUGACCCCAAACAGGACAAGUCUGAUAUGGAGUAUUUUAGUUCCAGGCCCUUGUAGGACUGGCCAAUUCUGUUGUUGGGUUUGCUUUGCAGCUGGACUUUCCCCUCUGCCCAAUCUGGCUUUCCCCUCCUCUCCAAAGAUAUUCCCAAGAGCACUGCCUAAGAAACAUUCUGCAGGCCGGGUGUGGUGGCUCAUGCUUAUAAUCCCAGCACUUUGGAAGGCCAAGGCAGGAGGAUAGCUUAAGCCCAGAAGUUCAAGACCAACCUGGGCAACAUAGUGAGGCCUUGUCUCUACCAAAAAAAAUUAAUAAUAAUUUUAAAAGAAAUUUUAAAAAGAGAAACAUCCUGUGCACUAAACCUCAAUCUCAGAGCCCAUUUCCUUGGAGAGCCUAACCUGCAACAAUGGGUAAAUACUAUAAGCCCUAUCAAUGGGUAAAUACUAUAAACCUGUCAGGGUUCUUUGAACUUUUCUGUUGUUCUCUGCUGUGGUCCAACACCUGUAAUGAUGCCUGACACACAGUAUGUACUUGCUAAAAUACAUUUUAAGGCCAGGCUUGGUGGUUCAUGCCUGUAAUCCUAGCACUUUGGGAGGCUGAGGUGGGAGGAUCACUUGCGCUCGGGAGUUUGAGACCAACUUGGGCAACAUAGACCUCAUCUCUUUAAAAAAAAAUAAAAAAAUUAAAUUAAAUACAUUUUAAGAUGAAUGUCUAUUUAAUUGUACAUGUAUACUUGUCAUUCUCCUUUGCCACGUUCUCCUCAAGGACAAAGUCAAUGAAGUCAUCUUCCCUGUCACUAGCUCCCAGCUUAGCGCUGGCAAUCAUUACUUAGAAAAGAAAGAUGAUUUUUUUUUUCAGCAGAGGCAAAUACAUAAAUAGUGUAAAUAGUCAGAGAAUGGAGGGAAAGAUCUUCCUAGACCAGGGGCCAGUUUCUACAGAGGAAAGAAAGACUCAGGUAGAAAGCUGGCGGUGGGGGGUGUAAGAGUCUGGUGAUUGUCUUGAGCUGAUGUUUGCUAGUGAGUGUUCUUUUUUCUUAGUGUAUUUUUAUUUGGGAUGGAUGAUGGAAGUGAUUGGGUGUAAGGCCAACUCAAGCCA